rnacentral:rRNA from 1 species
UACGUAGGGGGCAAGCGUUGUCCGGAUUUAUUGGGCGUAAAGAGCGUGUAGGCGGCCAGAUAGGUCGGUUGUGAAAACUGGAUGGCUCAACCUCCAGACGUCGACCGAAACCAUCUGGCUAGAGUCCGGAAGAGGAGAGUGGAAUUCCUGGUGUAGCGGUGAAAUGCGUAGAGAUCGGGAGGAACACCAGAGGCGAAGGCGGCGACCUGGACAGAUACUGACACUCAACUACGAAAGCGUGGGGAGCAAACAGG